CAGAAGGGCUCCAGCCACAAAAUGUGGCUGGACCUCAUGGUCAACAUCAGAGACUUCUUCUGUACAGAUCUGGCGGUCACUUUUCGAGUAAAGGCCACUGAAGAGAAUGUUACAACCCUCUCACUGCGCCAUGUAGGCGCUGCAGAACAGAUCAAACACCUCCAAAUGACAUGCAAGGCUCUGCAGACAAGGAUGGACACACUAGACGAGGCGGUGGCAAAACCUAGAAAUUGGAGGAAUCACGGACGGUGAAUUGCCACACUUCCUUCAACACCUGUUCUCUGCAGUGUUGCCACCUCAGGAAAAUAAAAAUAUGAUAGUGGAUGGCUCCUCACAGUUCCCAAAGUCCACCAGGGCACCAGAGGCAGCCCCUCGGGAUAUCCUACUCUGCUUUCAAGCAUACCAGAACAAGUUGGCAAUCUUGGAGGCGCUUAAGACAAAAAUCCCGUUUUAGUUUGAAGACCUGUAUCUAAAUGUGUUUGCAUUAGCUGUUGUGGCAG